rnacentral:lncRNA from 1 species
AGCAACGAAUCCGAGUUCUUACUGGUCCCUCACUUCUUGCGGAUUUGCGGAGAUUAAUUUUGUACUGCGGAGAGCGCGGGUGGAUAAUAUUUCGGUGUUAAAAAAAAAGAAAGAAGAAGAAAUCCGCCGCACUCUAAUCUUCUACACGCACCAACAAGUUUCGCUUGAGUAAGGAGAAUUUAAGCACUGCUGUUUGCCCAAGCAUACUAACGAGAAAGGACUGCGAGACGCCUCGGUUUCUAAUGAAAUUUCACUGUCUUACACGCUGCGCAUUGUACGGUCAAGGAGUGCAGAAACCACAAGAAGCCGGCGUGUGUGUGGACGCGAUCCCUCGAUCCUCAAGCGGCCUUUAGCCACCACUAUACAAGAAUGAAGUGUGCGUGGAUUGGUGCUCUCCUGGUAGCUUCCGCCAGUAAG